UUUCCGUAGGUGAACCUGCGGAAGGAUCAUUAACGAAUUUCGAGGGGAAGGAAGAUGAGGAGUGGAGACUGUCGCUGUCUUUCCCGCGUGGGAAGCAUGUUCACGCCUUGCUUUUCGUUGACCUUUCUCGUACUCUCACACCUGUGCACCCAUUGUAGGUCCUCGAAAGAGGAUCUAUGUUUUUAGCAUCACACGCAUCGUAUGUCCAUAGAAUGUAACAUGAUCGUCGAUCGACCUCGCGGUCGGGUGGCGGUCUAAAGAAAUAAAUACAACUUUCAGCAACGGAUCUCUUGGUUCUC
rnacentral:misc_RNA from 1 species